rnacentral:rRNA from 1 species
CAUGCAAGUCGAGCGAACAGACGAGGAGCUUGCUCCUCUGACGUUAGCGGCGGACGGGUGAGUAACACGUGGAUAACCUACCUAUAAGACUGGGAUAACUUCGGGAAACCGGAGCUAAUACCGGAUAAUAUAUUGAACCGCAUGGUUCAAUAGUGAAAGACGGUUUUGCUGUCACUUAUAGAUGGAUCCGCGCCGCAUUAGCUAGUUGGUAAGGUAACGGCUUACCAAGGCAACGAUGCGUAGCCGACCUGAGAGGGUGAUCGGCCACACUGGAACUGAGACACGGUCCAGACUCCUACGGGAGGCAGCAGUAGGGAAUCUUCCGCAAUGGGCGAAAGCCUGACGGAGCAACGCCGCGUGAGUGAUGAAGGUCUUCGGAUCGUAAAACUCUGUUAUUAGGGAAGAACAAAUGUGUAAGUAACUAUGCACGUCUUGACGGUACCUAAUCAGAAAGCCACGGCUAACUACGUGCCAGCAGCCGCGGUAAUACGUAGGUGGCAAGCGUUAUCCGGAAUUAUUGGGCGUAAAGCGCGCGUAGGCGGUUUUUUAAGUCUGAUGUGAAAGCCCACGGCUCAACCGUGGAGGGUCAUUGGAAACUGGAAAACUUGAGUGCAGAAGAGGAAAGUGGAAUUCCAUGUGUAGCGGUGAAAUGCGCAGAGAUAUGGAGGAACACCAGUGGCGAAGGCGACUUUCUGGUCUGUAACUGACGCUGAUGUGCGAAAGCGUG